UACGUAGGGACCGAGCGUUGUCCGGAAUCAUUGGGCGUAAAGCGCGCGUAGGCGGCCGUCCACGUCGGGUGUGAAAGCUCGGGGCUCAACCCUGAGAGGCCACUCGAUACGGGACGGUUAGAGGCAGCUAGGGGAGAGUGGAAUACCUGGUGUAGCGGUGAAAUGCGCAGAUAUCAGGUGGAACACCGGUGGCGAAGGCGGCUCUCUGGGGCUGAUCUGACGCUGAGGCGCGAAAGCUGGGGUAGCAAACAGGAUUAGAUACCCCGGUAGU
rnacentral:rRNA from 1 species